rnacentral:rRNA from 1 species
AACUAACGCUGGCGGCGUGCCUAACACAUGCAAGUCGUACGAGAAAGCCGGCUUCGGCUGGUGAGUAAAGUGGCGCACGGGUGAGUAACACGUGAGCAACCUGCCCCAGACUCUGGGAUAACAGUUGGAAACAGCUGCUAAUACCGGAUACGAGACGGAGAGGCAUCUCUACCGUCUGGAAAGUUUUUCGGUCUGGGAUGGACUCGCGGCCUAUCAGCUAGUUGGUGAGGUAAUGGCUCACCAAGGCGACGACGGGUAGCCGGCCUGAGAGGGCGACCGGCCACACUGGGACUGAGACACGGCCCAGACUCCUACGGGAGGCAGCAGUGGGGAAUAUUGCACAAUGGGCGAAAGCCUGAUGCAGCGACGCCGCGUGAGGGAUGACGGCCUUCGGGUUGUAAACCUCUUUCAGCAGGGAAGAAGCGAAAGUGACGGUACCUGCAGAAGAAGCACCGGCUAACUACGUG